rnacentral:rRNA from 1 species
ACGGAGGGUGCGAGCGUUGUCCGGAAUCACUGGGCGUAAAGGGCGCGUAGGCGGCUUUUUAAGGGUGCGGUGAAAGCCCGGGGCUUAACCCCGGGUCGGCCGUGCCGACUGAAAAGCUGGAGCACUGUAGAGGCAGGUGGAAUUCCGGGUGUAGCGGUGGAAUGCGUAGAGAUCCGGAAGAACACCAGUGGCGAAGGCGGCCUGCUGGGC